AUUAAUCAAUUUUUUUGGUACACAGGAUCCAGACCUAAUAGGUUUGUUCGUAGUACAACACAAACGAUUAGCAACUGCUGCCAACCAUCAGAUGCAUGAGCAGUUAACAGUUAGCGUUGUGCAGUUAAUAGUUAGAAUUCAUAGACUACAAAUGCGCAUGUGUCUGAUGGUUGGCAAGAGUUGCUGAUCAUUCUACGAACAAACCUAUUAGUAAGCACAAUUUGUGAUAUCCAUGGGUAGUUACUAACAGAAAGAGGCAGGAUUUCGAUUUUUAAAACAUUUAUUUUAGAGUCAAAACAUAGUCAUACCUUAAACGAUAAAUGUAUAUUAUCAUUACAAGUUGAUACUAAUUACAAAAAUAAAUACACAUUUAAAA
rnacentral:lncRNA from 1 species